CCUACGGGUGGCUGCAGUGAGGAAUAUUGGUCAAUGGCCGGAAGGCUGAACCAGCCAAGCCGCGUGAGGGAGGAAGGCGCAGAGCGUCGCAGACCUCUUUUGCCGGGGGACAAAAGGCCGGACUCGUGCGGUCCUGAGGGUACCCGGAGAAAAAGCAUCGGCAAACUCCGUGCCAGCAGCCGCGGUAAUACGGAGGAUGCGAGGUUUAUCCGGAUGAAUUGGGUUUAAAGGGUGCGCAGGCGGGCGUUUAAGCCGGCGGUGAAAUCGCGGGGCUCAACCCAGCAGAGCCGUUGGAACUGGGGGCCUUGAGUGAGGAGGAGGCAUGCGGAAUGCGCGGUGUAGCGGUGAAAUGCAUAGAUAUCGCGCAGAACCCCGAUUGCGAAGGCAGCGUGCCGUCCCGCCACUGACGCUGAGGCACGAAAGCGUGGGGAUCGAACAGGAUUAGAUACCCUUGUAGUC
rnacentral:rRNA from 1 species